AAAAUUGACGGACACAGAAAAGAACUACGAAUGAUCGGUUCAGCUUGAUUUGACCACCUUUAAUUAAUCGUGUGUUCUCAAAAUUCUGUUUCUAUUGAUUUUUUUUUUUUCUUGUUUGACAUCGUGACUAUCCUUAGAAACUUAUUUAUGAGUCAAAUUAAUUCUGUGAGCAAGAUUUGAAUGUUUGGUGCGUUUACAACGAUGAUGCAUACCGCAACCGUAUAUAUAUAUCACUCACGUUAAAAAGAUAUACAUGUUCA
rnacentral:lncRNA from 1 species